rnacentral:rRNA from 1 species
UACGUAGGGGGCAAGCGUUGUCCGGAAUUAUUGGGCGUAAAGAGCGUGUAGGCGGUCCGGUAAGUCAGCUGUGAAAGUCAAGGGCUCAACCCUUGAAAGCCGGUUGAUACUGUCGGGCUCGAGUCCGGAAGAGGCGAGUGGAAUUCCUGGUGUAGCGGUGAAAUGCGCAGAUAUCAGGAGGAACACCGGUGGCGAAGGCAGGUCUCUGGGCUGACACUGACGCUCAUGCACGAAAGCGUGGGGAGCAAACAGG